rnacentral:rRNA from 1 species
AUUGAACGCUGGCGGCAUGCCUUACACAUGCAAGUCGAACGGCAUCGCGGGAAAGCUUGCUUUCCUGGCGGCGAGUGGCGAACGGGUGAGUAACACAUCGGAACGUACCGGCUAGUGGGGGAUAACCCGUCGAAAGACGGGCUAAUACCGCAUACGCUCUUCGGAGGAAAGCAGGGGACCUUUGGGCCUUGCGCUAGCCGAGCGGCCGAUGUCCGAUUAGCUAGUUGGUGGGGUAAAGGCCUACCAAGGCGACGAUCGGUAGCGGGUCUGAGAGGACGAUCCGCCACACUGGGACUGAGACACGGCCCAGACUCCUACGGGAGGCAGCAGUGGGGAAUCUUGGACAAUGGGGGCAACCCUGAUCCAGCAAUGCCGCGUGGGUGAAGAAGGCCUUCGGGUUGUAAAGCCCUUUCGGCAGGGAAGAAAUCGGCGGGGCGAAUAACCCUGCUGGAUGACGGUACCUGCAGAAGAAGCACCGGUUAACUACGUG